rnacentral:lncRNA from 1 species
AUGAUGUUGAUAAUAUGAGAUGGAUUUGUUGCUAGGGUUCAGAUUUCACCCAAUCACUCUCAUAUACCGACUUUUCUUAUUAUAUUCGCUUUAUUAUCAAAUUGUCAUGCAAACUUUCUUAGUCUACCCUAAACCCAAUCUCUUGGCGAAAAGAGUCUAUUACUAAUUACCGGCUUACUAUCUCUAGUCUCCCCUAGUAAUUAGCAAUGCAUUAUAAAUAGAAGCAAAGUACAAUUGAUUGUCCUACCCCUAUCUCUAGGUGGUAUUACCUUAAUCAAGGAAUUUCC